GUAAAGGGCUCGUAGGCGGUUCGUCGCGUCCGGUGUGAAAGUCCAUCGCUUAACGGUGGAUCCGCGCCGGGUACGGGCGGGCUUGAGUGCGGUAGGGGAGACUGGAAUUCCCGGUGUAACGGUGGAAUGUGUAGAUAUCGGGAAGAACACCAAUGGCGAAGGCAGGUCUCUGGGCCGUCACUGACGCUGAGGAGCGAAAGCGUGGGGAGCGAACAGGAUUAGAUACCCUGGUAGUCCACGCCGUAAACGGUGGAUGCUGGAUGUGGGGACCAUUCCACGGUCUCCGUGUCGGAGCCAACGCGUUAAGCAUCCCGCCUGGGGAGUACGGCCGCAAGGCUAAAACUCAAAGAAAUUGACGGGGGCCCGCACAAGCGGCGGAGCAUGCGGAUUAAUUCGAUGCAACGCGAAGAACCUUACCUGGGCUUGACAUGUUCCCGACAGCCCCAGAGAUGGGGCCUCCCUUCGGGGCGGGUUCACAGGUGGUGCAUGGUCGUCGUCAGCUCGUGUCGUGAGAUGUUGGGUUAAGUCCCGCAACGAGCGCAACCCUCGCCCUGUGUUGCCAGCACGUCGUGGUGGGAACUCACGGGGGACCGCCGGGGUCAACUCGGAGGAAGGUGGGGAUGACGUCAAAUCAUCAUGCCCCUUACGUCCAGGGCUUCACGCAUGCUACAAUGGCCGGUACAACGGGAUGCGACACCGCGAGGUGGAGCGGAUCCCUUAAAACCGGUCUCAGUUCGGAUUGGAGUCUGCAACCCGACUCCAUGAAGGCGGAGUCGCUAGUAAUCGCGGAUCAGCAACGCCGCGGUGAAUGCGUUCCCGGGCCUUGUACACACCGCCCGUCAAGUCAUGAAAGUGGGUAGCACCCGAAGCCGGUGGCCCAACCUUUUGGGGGGAGCCGUCUAAGGUGAGACUCGUGAUUGGGACUAAGUCGUAACAAGGUAGCCGUACCGGAAGGUGCGGCUG
rnacentral:rRNA from 1 species